ACGGAAGGCAGCAGUGGGGAAUAUUGGACAAUGGGGGAAACCCUGAUCCAGCGACGCCGCGUGAGUGAAGAAGUAUUUCGGUAUGUAAAGCUCUAUCAGCAAGGAAGAAAAUGACGGUACUUGACUAAGAAGCUCCGGCUAAAUACGUGCCAGCAGCCGCGGUAAUACGUAUGGAGCAAGCGUUAUCCGGAUUUACUGGGUGUAAAGGGAGCGUAGACGGUAAAGCAAGUCUGAAGUGAAAUCCCGGGGCUCAACCCCGGAACUGCUUUGGAAACUGUUUAACUAGAGUGCAGGAGAGGUAAGCGGAAUUCCUAGUGUAGCGGUGAAAUGCGUAGAUAUUAGGAGGAACACCAGUGGCGAAGGCGGCUUUCUGGACUGCAACUGACGUUGAGGCACGAAAGUGUGGGGAGCAAACAGGAUUAGAUACCCUGGUA
rnacentral:rRNA from 1 species